UAUGAUUGAAGUCACCAUUCAAUUAAUGAGGCAUUCUCCAUUUAGUGCUCUAAUUGUUAAUGUGAUCUCACAGUUCGGAAGACUUAAUGGCAUCCGACAUUUGGGAAAGAGAUAGUUGAUCUCUACUUGGAUCAUAUUAGGAAGCUUGCCAAUAACUUUACUGGAUAUUGGGUCCGAACAGAGCAUGUGAUUAUGAAAUACAUUGACAGAAGGAUGUUGUUGCACAGGUGUACAACCGGACCAAGUUAUUUUCAAAGAUGUUGCAAUGAAACAAGAGUACAUCAGACGCAACUCCUUGGCGGAUCUUUGUCUCGACACAUUAGUAUACUACAAAGUUUAUUGCAUCUUUCUCUUUCAAUAUUUUGUGUUCAUUCAACUCAUGCGGAUGACUUUGUUUCUUUUCCUCCUAGGCCACUUUGCAAUGCACAUACCACAACAAUAGAUGUACUUUGAACUGGUCUAGCCAUGAUCACCCUCCCUCUUAAGAAAAUAGCAGCUACAGUUGCUGGUUUGUUGUGUUUGGCCAUAAUGGUCAGUGAGGAGAUGAUUAUUUUUAGG